rnacentral:pre_miRNA from 1 species
AAAUGGAUGCACCCAGUGGGGGAGCCAGGAAGUAUUGAUGUUUCUGCCAGUUUAGCGUCAACACUUGCUGGUUUCCUCUCUGGAGCAUCA